rnacentral:ncRNA from 1 species
CUAUAAGUGCAAAAAAACACAUCCCGGUUGGUAGUCCGGGAGCGCGAACAUUGCGUCAGUAACCUUCCCUCCAGGUCGUCCGUUGCAAUCUUUACAAAG